rnacentral:sRNA from 2 species
UGACUCUAGAGUGCUUCCCGGCUUUCUUACUUAACCAACGGAUCUCAGAGUUGUGUCGCAGGUUCAUAACACUAAUGGGCAGAGGACAAACAGCUAUCCAUGCCUUCAUUUUCGCGCCAAUGAUGUUUGGAGAUCAAAAGAGGGUAUCAUCAUCAUUCAACCCUCCAAUAUUGUAUUUGAUCACUUGAUUAUAGGCAUUCUCUCAUUCUUGCAACUAAUUUUCCCCACUCCUUUUCUUCACCUCACUGGCCUUUGAUGGCUUCAAGAAUUGCACAAUAAUCUCUAACUUCUAUUGUCAAGAUGUGGGUACUAGAUGAUUCUUCAGGCAGUUUCCUAUUACAAGAAUCCAUCAAUAUGAAGUUUAUCAGAUUCUGCAGCCCUGGAUUCAAGCUCUCGAUUCUCUCCAAGAUGGGUGAAGAUAGCAUCCUAUCAUUCAAAAGAAUUCAUUCAAUGGACUCAUAACUAGUCAAUGUGGGGAUAUUUAGUGUUCACAAUAGAAUAUGUUAACCAAUUCAAUUGAUCCUAGCUAGAGCUGAUCAGAGGGAUUUUAUGAGCAUUUUAUACCUUUUAUUGUUCAUCUAAUGCUAUCCAAUAUUAAAUCUUGUUCAAGUGGUAGAUUUGGCGGAACUUGAUAUUCAGAAUAACGGAAUCCAGCUUGAGGAGUAUUUAGUGACUGUAUACUUUUUAUUUAAGAAACAAAUAAGUC